rnacentral:lncRNA from 1 species
CCUCGGGGGAGGGGCGGGGAGAGGGGGCGCCCGGCCCGGGUUGAGCCCGAGAGUCGAGGGACCCGGGGCACAGAAGGGGCGCCUCGCGGGGGGUCCCCGCGAACUUUAGCACCCACGCGCGCUUGGGCGGGUCUGGCACGCGGGCACUCGCGCGGGGCGCGGUCCUCGAGCGAAAAAGGCCCCGGGUUCCAGGUGGCCCGGAUCUGGCCCGGGCGGUCGCCCCCUUCCCCUCUGGGCUCGGGCGGGUGCUGGAAAACGGGGACGGAGAAACUUAGCGACCUGCGGGCAGAGUUCGCUUAGCGCCAGGGUGCGGGGUGCCCGCCUUCCUCCCCGGGCGCCGGAAUCCCCGUCGGCGACCGGGACGGGAUGCUCUUAUUUAUUUCUCUCUCUCAGAUUUUCAAAAACUGUCCCCAUCUUAAGGGGAAGUCGAAAGUGAAGGGAGAGGGAGGUGCUCAAUAAGAAACGUUGACUAGCGUGUAAUUUCCGGAGCACACUGCCGGAGAUACUGGCAUCUCUUUCCAAAAGUCACUUUGAUUCAACUUCUAUGAGUUUCUCGCAAAUGGCAACAUUUCGAUGGUGAUGGACGAGAGGAAACGGGCAGCAGUCCGGCUGAUUUGAUCUCCAGUGGGGUGGAUUCAGUGAGCCCCAAGAAGCGGGUCUGAGUUUUCAAUCCAGCAUAUGACCCUACUUAAAGUAGCUGUUAGGAUGGAAGAGAAGGGAACAAUCAUUUCUUGACCAUUGAAUAUAUGCCAGCCACUGUGCUAUGUAUGUACAGUCACAUAUGGAAUUACAGUAUGGAGAAGCUGCAUUCAUGACACUCAGGAGAAAACUGGUCAGGGUGAAAGCGAGGUGGAGCUUGGGUCGGAGGACAGCUGCUGCUGCUGCUAAGUCGCUUCAGUCGUGUCCGACUCUGUGUGACCCCGUAGACGGCAGCCCACCAGGCUCCCCCGUCCCUGGGAUUCUCCAGACAAGAAUACUGGAGUGGGUUGCCAUUUCCUUCUCCAAUGCAUGAAAGUGAAAGGUGAAAGUGAAGUCG